rnacentral:rRNA from 2 species
UUAAAUUGAAGAGUUUGAUCAUGGCUCAGAUUGAACGCUGGCGGCAGGCCUAACACAUGCAAGUCGAACGGUAACAGGAAGCAGCUUGCUGCUUUGCUGACGAGUGGCGGACGGGUGAGUAAUGUCUGGGAAACUGCCUGAUGGAGGGGGAUAACUACUGGAAACGGUAGCUAAUACCGCAUAACGUCGCAAGACCAAAGAGGGGGACCUUCGGGCCUCUUGCCAUCGGAUGUGCCCAGAUGGGAUUAGCUAGUAGGUGGGGUAACGGCUCACCUAGGCGACGAUCCCUAGCUGGUCUGAGAGGAUGACCAGCCACACUGGAACUGA